rnacentral:lncRNA from 1 species
AAGAAUAGAUACAAUGGUGGUCUCUCUAUAUAUAUAUGGACAUCACCCUCGGCCGUAGCCCGAGUAGCAAGGUGAUCGACUAGCACGCUCCUAGUAGUCCCUAGCUAGGCGCGACUCCCUUGCCACGAUCCCUAGCCUCUCCUGUAACAGGCUCUGUAAAAACAACCACCAAAAGGGCGUGAGAACUAUUAACAAUAGUUCCCAGUGGGUAAGCCGCCAGCCUCGGCGAAUUACACCACUAGGCUCAAGAUGUACAGAAUGGAAAUAAAAGCAGUAAUUUGCAUGAUAUAUUUUCAAUGCUAACAAUUCAUAAGCCAAUGUUAACAAAUAAUGAACAUGUAAACAACAUGUGAUCAUAGCAUCAACAGUAAUGAAUCAACUGAAUGAUAGAAGCAUGGCUACUACUAUAAGCAUGCAUAAACAUAGCAUAAGUGUGUAAGUAACUACUGUACACUGUAACUGGUAAUCAUUCAUUACUGUCCAAUUUCCUUUAGCACUUUCCUUUCAUUCACAGGGAUCUACUUAAGGUAGUCCAGCUUGCGCCGCGCCUAAUGGCCCCGUGGUAGUAUACACUCCCCACGGCAAUCCACUUCGGCACCCAAUCCCGCACGGGCGAGCAACUGUCGCGUAGGCCAACUCCGGAGUGCCGGCUUGUAGGGAGCUACCCUCACAAGCGUGUGCGAAUGAGCACAAUGGCAAGCAAGCAAGGUCCACAGUCCAACAUAUCUCAAUUAUUACAAUUUCAUUUGCAAUAUUCUCGGUCUCGAUCCUCGAUCGGAAUUUCAAUAUAACAAAUAUGAACAAUAACUAGAAUCCACUAGUUUAGUAAGCAUGUAAGAGUAAUGCUAAUUUACAGGCAUUAUAAUCUUUUUACUAUCAUGGCACUACCAACAUAGUCCCAAAGCAUGUCACGGUUCUCUACUUUAGAGUCAAUAUCAUUGUUCUCUACUUUACAAAAACAUAAUUAUCAUGUCCAUUGAUUAUUCAACUGAACUAAAGAUAAACAUAAACAUAAGCAUAAAUACUGUUAUGCAUAAAUUCUCUCUACUUCAUAGAGAUUCUAGUCGAUGUUAUGGCAAAGAAGUUCCAAAGAACCAUAAAGUGACAAUAUCGCACAACUAUGUCAAUUCGAUACAUAUAGAACAUAGGGGAGCUUCACUUGCUCUGGUUAGGUCAAACCCACCUCGUACUAUGCUCAAAACAGUCACAAGACGUCCCAAAAUCAGCCCCACGAAGUCACACUCCUGCUGAAAAUAAGGCAUCAAAGCCGAGUCAAAAUGACGACCGAAUGUCCGAUUUCGGCCUAAUUUACACUUAGUACAAAGUAACCCCUUGAAUCCCUAUUCUGGGUUAGUGUUUUACCUCAAGAGAAGCUGCCAAAAAGCCCUUCGAUGCCAGUCGAAGAUGGUCCAAGGGUCAAUUACCCUUUCGCUG